CCUGCAUGGUAAAAUUUGCAUUCAGAACAAGGUACUGCAAUAAGGAUACAAGUAGGAUGGCAAGUCUCGACCAGUAGUGAGUUUUUAACUAAACAAUCAGAACAGCUAAACAAAGAUAAACUAAAACUGAGCAAUUGUGUUGUUUCUUCUGUUAUCCUUUUUGCUGAUAUUCGAAAAACCUUUGAUCAUAAACAACUAAAUGUGUGCAUGAGUUUCAAAAUGCACAAUCUGGCUAACAAGAAGCCAAGUUAUCUUGUAUAGUCUUAAGUCUUAACAAAUGUUUUAGGAAAAUAAUAUUACUCUAGAUAUAUAGAAGUUUCAAUUUAAGUUAUGGCAAUUGGACCAAUUAGUUCAAAGUCCUAAUCUCAAAAUCCUAAUAUUUACAGACGAUUCCAGUUGGAAUGCUGCACAGUGCAUAAGCUGGUAAGUGGUAACUUUUGGCUGGUUGGAGGCAUAUGGAGGACGCUGAUUAAGGCCAAUGGACGAUGGACACUAGUACCAGGAGAGACAAAAGACAGAUGACAACGAAAUUCAUGUGCUGGCCUGCUGGGUUACAGCAGGCUUGUGGACCAUUGCAGCCCUAGCCAUAUUUGCUUGCUCUGCCAAAUCAGCCAGGGAAGGUACAUGAUGUUUUUUUUCUUCUUUCCUUCAAAAUAAAGACAGUGUUAGGCGCUUGAUACUUACAUCUCCAUUUGAAUACAUCCCCAAAGCGCGACGCUGAAGCAAUGCAAGCAUGUAGCCAAAGAAAGCGGCAGCAAGAAGUAGUGCCACUCCUGUGGGCAUGGAAGAUUGAUGUAAUCAGUAAUAUUACAGAUUGACGGGUUCGAACAAGUUAUGUGUUUUGGAUCCAGUUGCUGAAUACAUGCUGGACAAGACCAGCUAGAACCAAAAGGCAAACAUAGGAUGCUCAAGGAACAGACAAAAGCAUGUGGAUCCACCCUACCACAGGACAUUUUAGCUUACCUGUAUCACUGAUCUUUCUAAUGGCCAUGUUCAUGGCAUCAGCCACAUAGAUGUUACCCCUGUCAUCCACUGUAAAUGCCUUUGGAUGGUUCAUCCUUGCCUCUCGAACCUUCCCAUCAACAUGACCAGGAAAUCCUUCUGGGGAACCAGCAACAA